rnacentral:rRNA from 1 species
UACAGAGGGUGCAAGCGUUGUUCGGAAUUAUUGGGCGUAAAGGGCGCGUAGGCGGUGCCACAAGUCACCUGUGAAAUCUCCGGGCUUAACUCGGACCUGCAGGCGAAACUGUGGUGCUGGAGUGUGGGAGAGGUGCGUGGAAUUCCCGGUGUAGCGGUGAAAUGACGUAGAUAUCGGGAGGAACACCUGUGGCGAAAGGCGGCUCGCGC